GACGAACGCUGGCGGCGUGCCUAAUACAUGCAAGUAGAACGCUGAAGGAGGAGCUUGCUCUUCUGGAUGAGUUGCGAACGGGUGAGUAACGCGUAGGUAACCUGCCUGGUAGCGGGGGAUAACUAUUGGAAACGAUAGCUAAUACCGCAUAAAAUUGAUUAUUGCAUGAUAGUCAAUUAAAAGGUGCAAUUGCAUCACUACCAGAUGGACCUGCGUUGUAUUAGCUAGUUGGUGAGGUAACGGCUCACCAAGGCAACGAUACAUAGCCGACCUGAGAGGGUGAUCGGCCACACUGGGACUGGGACACGGCCCAGACUCCUACGGGGGGCAGCAGUAGGGAAUCUUCGGCAAUGGGCGGAAAUCUGAACGAGCAACGCCGCGGGGGUGAAGAAGGUUUUCGGAUCGUAAAGCUCUGUUGUAAGAGAAGAACGAGUGUGAGAGUGGAAAGUUCACACUGUGACGGUAUCUUACCAGAAAGGGACGGCUAACUACGUG
rnacentral:rRNA from 1 species